rnacentral:rRNA from 1 species
AUUGAACGCUGGCGGCAGGCCUAACACAUGCAAGUCGAGCGGUAGCACAGGGAGCUUGCUCCUGGGUGACGAGCGGCGGACGGGUGAGUAAUGUCUGGGAAACUGCCUGAUGGAGGGGGAUAACUACUGGAAACGGUAGCUAAUACCGCAUAACGUCGCAAGACCAAAGAGGGGGACCUUCGGGCCUCUUGCCAUCAGAUGUGCCCAGAUGGGAUUAGCUAGUAGGUGGGGUAACGGCUCACCUAGGCGACGAUCCCUAGCUGGUCUGAGAAGAUGACCAGCCACACUGGAACUGAGACACGGUCCAGACUCCUACGGGAGGCAGCAGUGGGGAAUAUUGCACAAUGGGCGCAAGCCUGAUGCAGCCAUGCCGCGUGUAUGAAGAAGGCCUUCGGGUUGUAAAGUACUUUCAGCGGGGAGGAAGGCGAUAAGGUUAAUAACCUUGUCGAUUGACGUUACCCGCAGAAGAAGCACCGGCUAACUCCGUGCCAGCAGCCGCCGUAA